AGCCGGGCGGCCCUAUACGCUCACUACGCAAGUUGCGUAGGGCCCCGCAAAUUACGCAAGGGCCCCGCCUCCCCCUCGUGUCAAAGCGGGUAUCAAUGUUUACAACUUAGAUGAGAGGAUGACGCGAAACUAUCCUUCUGGUCACGAAAAGAGAAAGAAAAGAAAAAACACACCAUGAGAGUGAAUUGCAGGAACAGUAAUCAGGACUGCAUAGAAUUGACCCACGUCUUGGUGACUGGAUGGUGGGGACCCACACUGGUAGUGGUGGCUGCACUAAUAUUACUGGUGGUGAAACUGUGGGAUUUAAAGGAAUGUUCCCAGCCCCUGACCCAUGAGGUGGCAUUGUAAGUACUGCAAUUUCUCCUCACCCAACCAGCGCACUCUAAUAAUUCACUACAAACUGAAACACUGUCAUCACGCAAGGAACUGUCCCCUACUCUGCAUCUUUGAAGACUGUGUGUGCUCAUUUAGGACUGAACUAGCUCUGAAAAAACACCUAACCAAGAGACCUUAGACAGUCUUGUUCAGGUCUGUACCGCGACUUCAAAGCUUAAGUGUGACCUUUGCAAUUUCUCUCAGACCUGUAGUGUUACACAGUAUUUCACUCAUUUAAAGACUCAUUUUAGAAAUAAGGAGACUGUGAACUGUCCUUUUAAAGACUGCAGUUUUCAGUCUAGUGUAUAUAGUACUUUCCGUGCCCAUAAGAGUAGAAGCCAUCACCUGUGUACCAUAGACAGUUUUUGUGGGGACAUAUAUAAAACUUGCCCUUCAAGUGUUUCAGAUUUUGAAAGUACAGAUUUUGAGGCGAAUUUGGAUCAGCUGGACUUUGCAACAUCAGAUUGUGAUGUGGAAUAUGAUGAAGACCUGAAUGAUUUACUUAAACAUAAACUAAGUACAAAAAACAUCACUGUUUUUUGGGAUGCAAACAGUUCUACAUGUCUCCAAGGCAACAACUCAGGAAAUUGUGAAUGAACUUUGCAGUAUUGGCUCAAUUGUUGAAGAGCUUACAUCAAAAUUAAUUGAAAGCAUAUUGAUUAAGCACAACUGUAUAAUAAGCAACUCAGUCACUACUGCCAUAACAGAGAUAGUUAAAAAAACAAAUCCACUCGGCUCCUUGUCAAAAAUGGUCCAUUUGACUCUAAGUACAGAAGAACCACUUUUUACAAAAACAAUUUCAAGGUGAUUGAGCCCAUCGAAAACAUUUUAGAUGCAUCUUCCAAAAGUAAGUUUGUUUAUAUUCCUGUUUAAAAAAUCUUGUCAGAGCUGUUAAAUCGUAAUGAUGUUCUGGAUAAAAUCUUGCAGACAGAAGAUUUGGAAGCUGUUGGGACAGUUGAUUCUGUUUAAAACAUACAGAGAUGGGCUAUACUGCAAAGAGAACUAGUUGCUCUCUUCAGAAGGUUUGAACAUAGCUCUGGGACUGUACAUAGAUGAUUUAGAAGUGUGUAAUCCAUUAGGAACGUCACGAAAGAAGCAUAAGGUCUGUGCAGUUUAUUGGGUAAUUUCAAAUUUACCAAUACAGUAUAGGUCAUCUUUACAGUCAAUCUAUCUGGCCUGCCUGUGUAAUAGCAAUGAUGUAAAAAAAUUAUGGCUAUGAUGGCAUUCCUGAACCAUUUUCCCCAGAUUUUCUGCAUGACCUUCUAGAAGGAAUUGUACCAAAAGAAUUAAGUCUAUGUCUAAAUUCUCUGAUUUGCAAACAUUAUUUUACAUUAGAUGACCUCAAUUACACUAUCCAGUCCUUUCCUUUCAAAUUUUCUGACAAAAUAAACAGACUACAACAAAUUGCAAAAAUAUUUGUAUUAAAAUGUUCUAUUGGUGGAAAUGGACAUGAAAAUUUGACUUCAUUGAGACUACUGCCAUUGAUGAUUGGUGACAAAAUACCAGAAAAUGACUAAACCUGGGAAAUUUUAUUUGACCUAAAAGAAAUUGUCUGGCUGGUGGACAUUUUUCAAAUGAGACAUUGUGCUAUUUGGGGUCUAAAAUCUAAGAUCACCGGUACUUUCUAAAAGCGUUUCCAGACUUCAGCCUGCAGCCCAAGCAUCACUUUUUGGAGCACUACCCUAAAUUAAUUCAUAGAUUUGAACCUCUGAUCAAAUUUUUGAACAAUUCGAUUUGAAGCUAACCAUAGCUUUUUUAAGAGGGUGGUGCAUGACACAAACAAUUACAGAAAUCUCUUGCUCACUCUGGCCACAAAGCACCAACUUUCAUUAGCUUACUAUCUAGACCUGCCAAGUGUUUUCAAACCUGAUUUGGAAGUAGGUCAUGUUGCUGUCGUUUCUGAUACACUAGAGCACUCAUUGAAGCAGGGUAUAGAGCUGAAAUAUACUAACAUUACCACUGUAUCUCUUGCAACCCAAGUAUGCCUCUGCAGCAUCAAGUAUUCAGAGGGAAUGUUUCUGUCUGUGGGAUACACCAGUGGACUGCCUGAUUUUGGCAAGCUAGUUAAAAUGAUAAUUGUGUCCAAUAGAGUGUCAUUCAUUGUUGAACCCUUCACAGCGUGGUACGUAGAGCACUUGCGGAGUUAUGAACUGACAAAAAAAACACUCUUCCGAACUAAAUGUUGAGGAACCACAUGAGCUAAAUGGAUGUCACUCCCUGUACCCAUGUAAAAGAGCAGGCAAACUAACUGUAACACCAAAAACCUUCCUCCUUCACUGUUGUACUGGGCAUGUGCUUUCAUUAUUAGUAGUAUGUAACCAAACGAUAGGAGGCGCCACCGGGGAGGGGUGACGGGAUUAUUUAACACAAACACAAGAACGGAUAUGGUUGUCUCGGUCAACGUAACCGGGACUUUUAUUUUGAAAACAGGGAAAACAAGCAAAAUAAUACAAACAAAACGCUAGCUCCAAGUGAGCCUAAUUGUACAGGUCUUUUGGGCCCUGUCUAAAGUCGGGCAGCUAAGCUGCUUAUCGACAAGACAAAUUGUAGACAAAAGAAUGGUCAAAAACAAGAACAGUUCGGUACACGUUCAGUUCCUCACAGAAAAUGGGUCAAAAGGUAAUCGAGCACUCAGACAGAAAACAGGUCAUUCACAGGUUCCAACACAAUAUCUGUAACACUUACACAGUCUUUCCACAAAGAAAACUCCAAACUUCCACACCUUCACAGCUGUAUGGGCACCUACUUAUACUGAGCUUGAUUAGGUAGAAUGGUUUUCAGGUGGGAUUAACAAGGGGGUGGAGCUGGCAAUUGGAAGGGGGUGGAAUGAAAAAUACCGGCCUUCCACUACAGCUUCCCUCAUGGCCUUACAUAGUAUUAUCAGGGAUGGACAGUAUUUCUGAUAAAUGUAUUUGGGUAUUUUGAUGAAUUUUUGGCCAUCCCUAGAAACUGCUAAUAUGUUCAAUUUUAAUUCAUAUUUUGUCUAGGUUUUUAACAUUUUCAAAUUAUGAUUAUUCUAUGAGUGAUUAUUAUUACUCAUUUAAUCCCUAACUCUGGAGAAGCUCAGGAAGUUUCAGUAUUCAAGCAAGAUGCUGUUUUGUGUGAUCAUCUCAUAACAGGACGUUCGUAAAAUUAAACUUGAAACUGUUCCAGAUACAGUUGAUGGCCUUAAACUGAUGCUGAAAAGCAAGCUGCAGCUACAAUAAUCUUUUGAUCUUCAGUAUGAAGAUUAAGACUUUCAUGAUUUUUACAACCUUACAUGUGUAGUUGAUCUGCCGAAGGAGAAGGUGACAUUGAAGGUCCUUUUCAGCCCUUUUACGGAUACAUUUUCAGACUCCAGUUUGGACACUGCAGCCAUAUCUGUACAGUCAUCUCCAUCAGUGUUGUCUUCGGUAAGCAACCAUUCACAGUCACCUCCAGGUCGUUCACAGGUAUGGCCAACUCCCUUUACCAUUCCAACCUUCACAUGUGAUGUUGAACUGAGGCUUAGGCAAGGGAAUGAGGCCUAUAGAAAAAAUGGCACUCUUCUGACCAUUUCCAGAGACAUGAAGAGUGAAAUCCUGGACAAAAUUGUUGAAGCAAUAUAUUCUUACAAGGCCUACCCAGUAAAUGAUGAAUUUGAAAGUGUAGCCAUUGCCCUAAUUGAAAAACACCUCUGUCUAAAAGAACCAGGCUCCACAUUUGGGUGGUAUGGGUGGAAACUAAGUUUGAAGUUUAAGAUGGGAAAUUAUAGACAAAAACUGAGAGAUGCAGGUGUUCAAGAACUGAAAGUGAAUUCAGAGAAGAGAGGCCCUGGGGAGACGAGCGGAAAACGAAACAAAGUGAAGAAAUCUAGACGGUCUGAAACAAACUUUCUUCCAGCUCAGCUCCCUGAUGGAAAAGAUUCCAGUAGCCUAGAAAAAAAGAGAGCAAAUAGCCCAAGAGAUGAAGAAAAGGAACCCUGAUUUGGCCUUCAUAGAUACAGCAAUGUGCAGCACAUAGUCUUUGAGAAGACAGGAAAUUGUAGAAGAUGAGCCUCCAGUGUCAAAAGUGAAAGUCAGAUGGUCGCUUACUCACCCUGAUUUUUAUUACCUUGUGAAUACCUCCAGAGUGAACCCCACUGGUAGUAUGGACGAACGCAUGUACUUUCUGGGGUAAAAGGGAGGAGCCUCUGCCGCUGGGAGCCAGCGGCAGCUUCCCUAUCGGUUAAUCGAACUGUCUGUCUCAGUGUGCCAGUGUCCCCCUUCCCCCCCCGACACUCCCUCUGUUCCGUGUGUGCUGCAAUCCAAGUCCCGACUGAAACACACCAGCAACACGGACAAAGCUAUCGAGCUAUUCGAAGAUUUUAAUUCUGUUAUAUCACAGACUUGCCAAAUACAUGGCGUGACUUCGUUGAAGGACCUUCAGCGCAUGUGUUUGGAUACGCUGUUAUCGUCUGCUAGCAAAUAAAUACUCAGAAAAAUGGCCAGAAGAACCAAUGGGUUUGAUUGUUUGCCCAUUACCAUCAAUAAUGGAGGAGAAAGUGGAAUUGUUGAACCAAAAAGGAAUUAAAUAAAUAAAUUUAUCACCGAUAAAUUGUGUUUGUUUCUUUUAUUAUCGAACCUCAAACCGCAGACUCUGCAUAUCUCGGUGAUAAACUUUGAUGGUGUGGUUGGUGCUCUGACAUUAACGUUAGCCAUUUUCCCCAAAUAGUGGCGAACUGAUGCGGGUCUGUGGAAAGGUUUGCCUCCAGUAAUGUUUUUUUCCGGUGCAUGUGUCCGACUACGCCUGGCCAAAAUCGUCACCACAUUUGGAGCACCGCCCCUCUGCAUUCUGAUUGGUUGGGAAGGUUGCCUCCUUCGUUUAUGCCUAGAACAUCAGGCCAUCGGCCAGGCUCUGUUGAACGAAGUGAAAAAAGAGACUGGCUCGCGAGGCUACCCCACCAGUGUAUACGCCUCCUUUGAUCUGUACGAGUCUGCCUGAUGGCCUAGUGUUCAUGCAGCGUUUCCCAUUAAUUACCUAGACUGUGGCGGUCUAAUUUGUAAAAGAUCUCUAGCUAACCUUGUGUUUCACGCCCGUUGCUUCAGCAAAGCAGCUGUUGCUCCCGGUCAGUCAGCCCCUCCCCCCUCCCACUGUACGUGUGCACGCUCAGACACGCACUGGAACAUUCCUGGCUGCAUCCGAGACACGAGGCAGACACCAAGGCAUUUUGAGGAAACAACAUUGUUUGAGGCCACUGAUCCUGAAAAUGACAUCAUCAAGGGUAUGACGAUUGGAAUCCUUGCAGUUGUGGAGGAUAUGAAGGAACCACUCCCAGCAAUCUACAGUGUGGCCCUGGUUUUUGAAGAACAAGUUCUUUGUAAUCUUGCCGAUGUACCGAGUGAACUUGAUGGGGCUGCUCUAUAUAUUAAAUGUGAACUAUCCAAAAGAACUGAGAUAUACCUUUGAGGUAAGAGUCCACUGCAAGAGUCCACUCUCUCAAAAAUAAUUACUGAGUUAGGGAGAUGGGUAUUUUGUGUGUUAAGGUAUGCCAUUGAACUUGUAUGUUUUUCUAGAUCUGUCCCAAUGGAAGGGUUUUUAUUUUUAUUUUUUGACCUAACAAGCUCAAAUUCAUAUACUAGGACAGUGAAGAAUUCAAUAUUGACGUUGAAAGAUAACUUUAUUUUGUAUUUCAAAGUCUGUAUUUUCAGUUUUAGAUUAACAUUGAAAAAUUCAAGACUGCUAUUGAAGGAAAUUAUUUUGUGCUUUGGUAAGACUGUCAGAUUUAGCACCAGUGGCAGUGACACUGAAGGUAUUUGCCUGUGUUUUGUGACACAGUUGCUUUUGUGUUGUGUAAUGUUGAAACACCUCUUUCUACACUGAUAGUUUGUCUUGGUUUAUGUAAAACUGAGAGCUUGUAAGUCAUGUGUGUCAAGGUUUCGAGGGGGUUGGACCCAGGCGCAGAGUGAAACACAUGAAACUCAAGAGGUAAAGGAAAAUAACUACUCUACUACAAAAAAAGGCAAACACAAACAGGGAACAGAAAAGGCCACGAUGGGCAAAACAACUCAAAAAUUCUUAAGAACUAAAAGAACACAGAACAGAACACAGGCAGGGCAGAACACAGGCAGGCAGGAUACAGGCGGG